CCUACGGGAGGCUGCAGUGGGGAAUCUUGCGCAAUGGGCGAAAGCCUGACGCAGCCAUGCCGCGUGAAUGAUGAAGGUCUUAGGAUUGUAAAAUUCUUUCACCGGGGACGAUAAUGACGGUACCCGGAGAAGAAGCCCCGGCUAACUUCGUGCCAGCAGCCGCGGUAAUACGAAGGGGGCUAGCGUUGCUCGGAAUUACUGGGCGUAAAGGGAGCGUAGGCGGAUAGUUUAGUCAGAGGUGAAAGCCCAGGGCUCAACCUAGGAAUUGCCUUUGAUCCUGGCUAUCUUGAGUUUGGGAGAGGUGAGUGGAACUCCGAGUGUAGAGGUGAAAUUCGUAGAUAUUCGGAAGAACACCAGUGGCGAAGGCGACUCACUGGCCCAAUACUGACGCUGAGGCUCGAAAGCGUGGGGAGCAAACAGGAUUAGAUACCCGAGUAGUC
rnacentral:rRNA from 1 species